AGAGUUUGAUCAUGGCUCAGAACGAACGUUAGCGGNNNNNUUAACACAUGCAAGUCGUGCGAGAAAGGGGAAACCCCGGUAAAGCGGCGCACGGGUGAGUAACACGUAGGUAAUCUACCCCCAGGUGGUGGAUAACGUUCCGAAAGGAGCGCUAAUACAGCAUGAGACCACGGGCUCGCAAGAGCUUGAGGUCAAAGCCGGCCUCUUCACGAAAGCUGGCGCCAGGGGAUGAGCCUGCGGCCCAUCAGCUAGUUGGUAGGGUAACGGCCUACCAAGGCGAAGACGGGUAGCUGGUCUGAGAGGAUGAUCAGCCACACUGGAACUGAGACACGGUCCAGACUCCUACGGGAGGCAGCAGUGGGGAAUCUUGCGCAAUGAGCGAAAGCCUGACGCAGCGACGCCGCGUGAGUGAUGAAGGCCUUCGGGUUGUAAAGCUCUGUGGAGGGGGACGAAUAAGUCGUGGCUAACAUCCACGAUGAUGACGGUACCUCUUUAGCAAGCACCGGCUAACUCUGUGCCAGCAGCCGCGGUAAGACAGAGGGUGCAAACGUUGUUCGGAAUUACUGGGCGUAAAGCGCGUGUAGGCUGUUUCGCAAGUCGGGUGUGAAAGCCCUGGGCUCAACCUAGGAAGUGCACUCGAAACUGCGAGACUGGAGUCCUGGAGAGGAAGGCGGAAUUCUCGGUGUAGAGGUGAAAUUCGUAGAUAUCGAGAGGAACACCGGUGGCGAAGGCGGCCUUCUGGACAGUGACUGACGCUGAGACGCGAAAGCGUGGGGAGCAAACAGGAUUAGAUACCCUAGUAGUCC
rnacentral:rRNA from 1 species